rnacentral:rRNA from 1 species
CAGCCGCCGCGGUAAUACCGGCGGCCCGAGUGGCGGUCACUAUUAUUGGGCUUAAAGCGUCCGUAGCCGGGUUGGGAAGUCCUCCGGGAAAUCUGGCCGCUUAACGGUCAGAAUGCCGGAGGAUACUCCCAGCCUAGGGAGCGGGAGAGGCCGAGGGGAUUCCCGGGGUAGGGGUGAAAUCCUAUAAUCCCGGGAGGACCACCUGUGGCGAAGGCGCUCGGCUGGAACGCGUCCGACGGUGAGGGACGAAGGCCAGGGGAGCAGACCGGAUUAGAUACCCGGGUAGUCCUGGCUGUAAACGAUGCGGACUUUGUGUCGGACAAGCUAUGAGCUUGUCCGGUGCCGGAGGGAAACCGUUAAGUCCGCCGCCUGGGGAGUACGGCCGCAAGGCUGAAACUUAAAGGAAUUGGCGGG